rnacentral:rRNA from 1 species
GUAGGUGGCAAGCGUUGUCCGGAAUUAUUGGGCGUAAAGCGCGCGCAGGCGGUUCUUUAAGUCUGAUGUGAAAGCCCACGGCUCAACCGUGGAGGGUCAUUGGAAACUGGAGAACUUGAGUACAGAAGAGGAAAGCGGAAUUCCACGUGUAGCGGUGAAAUGCGUAGAGAUGUGGAGGAACACCAGUGGCGAAGGCGGCUUUCUGGUCUGUAACUGACGCUGAGGCGCGAAAGCGUGGGGUAGCAAACAGGAUUAGAUACCCUGGUAGUCCACGCCGUAAACGAUGAGUGCUAAGUGUUAGGGGGUUUCCGCCCCUUAGUGCUGCAGCUAACGCAUUAAGCACUCCGCCUGGGAGUACGGCCGCAAGGCUG